GUCGUUUUUCUUUCUUUUGUAUGGUAAGAAAGAAAAUAGAAAAUAUUUUUUUUCUUUUUUUUUCUUACCGUACAAAAAAAAAUAUUAGUAACAAUAAAUUUGAAUGAAUUAUACCAUAGUCUUUUUGGAAGUCUACUUUUGUUAAAACUAUAAGCCAAAUGAGAUAUUGUUUAUUAAAAACAGUUUUCAGUUAUCUACAUAGCCUGCUUCAAUUGAAACACAGACCAAACAAGUAUCUCUGUAUUCCUCCUCUUCUGGCCAAAUCAGAAUUGGUGACUAGCUCCAUAAAACAACAAAACUGCAGGCAGAAGAUUAUCUUUCCAUACAUCCAAAAAACAGAAAUGAAAAGAUUGAAAGAAGAAAGGAAAAGAUUUAGAGUAUUUGUUAUAUUUUAUAAGAAGAGUUUGUUGAGAAAAUGCAACAAACUAUUCUUAUAAAAUAUAACAUAAAUAAUGUCAAACUAUUAUAUUUUAGGCACAAUUAAUAAUAUAAAAUAUAGCAC
rnacentral:lncRNA from 1 species